ACUUUAAUUGAAGAGUUUGAUCAUGGCUCAGAUUGAACGCUGGCGGCAGGCCUAACACAUGCAAGUCGAGCGGUAACAUUU
rnacentral:rRNA from 1 species